rnacentral:rRNA from 1 species
UUUCGGGUCCAAACAGGCACACUCAGACUGAACCCACAAUGGGGCCCGUCGGUGUUGAGCAUUCGUUGUGUGUGCACACCAAUGUCCGCAAGCGGACUCCCUUUCAGUACGAGAGAAGUACUGGCAACAAUAUCUUCUCCCUUGCGCGUCUGUUUGACUCCUUGGUCCGUGUUUCAAGACGGGGGGAGGCACGCCAUUACGAGUGCACCAGAUAACGAGUCACAGAGAAGCAAGCAACUCGCCCGAGGGUGUUGCAAGCUUUGUCUCCGCUCAUUUCCUCUCCUCAUUCAUGCAGAAGUGCCCGCACAGAUCGGAAUCUCCGAAGAGAAACCUCCCAAGCGAGAUAUUGCUCCGAGGAUGGUUCUGGUAAAGAGAAAUGGACGUACUUCCUUUGUCAUUGUCACGAUUCCAGGUUCUAUUUCACCUUCUCUCCAAAAUGCUUUUCAAACUUUCGCUCACGCUACUUGUUCGCUAUCGGUCUUCCUA